CAAAGAACAAGACAGCGGCUGAGAGCUCGUUCAAAGUGCUUUCACCAGAGCCCCCAGGCUGAGAGCAAGAAAGAAGAACUUCUGUCCCAAGGACGCUAGAAAGAGAAGUGUUACUGUGCCAGCUGGGGCACCAUGCUCGCUCUUCCCAAGUCAGCUUCCAGGGAUCCGGGCCCCGUUCUAACACUUGCCUCGAACAUGAAAGAACUGUCCUGCAUGUUCAUGGGAGGGAAAUCCAGCCAGCUGGACU